AAGCUUCCUACUUGCCACUGGAAAACUUCAGAAAGACCAAAUAAUGGAUUAUUCUAACAGGAAGAAUAUGCCAGUAUCUGAUGUUGAGAAGUGGCUUGGGUCUGUGUUAGCUUACGACCCAGAAUAAGAUUGAUCUGAAAUAACAAUUACUGCCAAAUAUUUUAAUGUAUUUGAAGAUCUUUAAUGCAUGACACCAAGUGGUAUUUCAAAUUUGGAACAUUCCUUGUGGGAUGAUUUUUGACAUUUUGGUUUUGGUGUUAAGGUUGUGCUGUAUUAUUCCAGUAUGAAAUGUUAAUGAAUUUUUAAAUCCACCUGAACCAUAAGUAAUCAGAUAAUAUUAUUAACAACUGCACGAAGUGCAGAACUGGUACAUGUAGGUUCCAUUUCAGGUUUCUGGGGAAACAUUUAUAAUUUAUUGUUGUUUAUCUUCAACUGAACAGAUUAAUAGUGUAAUUGCAAAAUAUAACUAUGACAUUUACUUUAAAUAAUACGCUUAAAAACCAUGACCAUGAGAACCAUGAGAGUAAUUUUCCUCAUUAUACAGGAUAAUCUAUAUACGAAGAUGUUGGUACUGUGGUAUAUCAUUAUUUUGUACCAGGGUGAUUUUCCACUCCAAGCUGUAGUGUGAGAUAUUGGCAAUAGAAAUACCUGUAGUGAAAUACAUCAUCAUGUUGAUUCGGGGGAUUUUACAAAUAUCCUAAAGUUUUACUUGUCAAACUAUGCUCUUAAUGUAAUUUAUUUAAAAGACUAUUUAGAUACAAUCACAUUUCUCUAUUAAAAAUCACCUGUGAGGUUUUUUUUAGGUAAAAUGAGGUGGUUGAUCAUUAUUUCCAUGAAUACAUGUAAUUAUGAGAUUAUAGGUAAAAUAUUGAUCUCAAAUGAACAAGGUUUAGAUAACUAUAUGGACAUGACUGCAACAUACAUACAUAUACAUUAACUUAUACUGUGUGCUUAGAAUAUUUGAUACUUUGCUUAAUCCAGAAGAACAAAUAAGUGUUUUUAUAUAAAAUCAAAAUUCUUUUACUUGACGUGUGUUAUAUAUAUUUUCUGAACUGCUUCAGUUUUUAAUAUACUUUUAAUAUAUGUUGACUUACUGAUUUUUUUUUUUUUUUAAUUUUUGAAACAAGUUUUUUAUACAUUGUAUAUCUUUUUUUUCUCAUAUAAAUGUGAUGUUCAAGCAUAAUAUACUGUACAUACAGAUCUGAAUGAAAUAUCAGUAUAAUUAUUUGUUAUAAGUCUGAAGCGGAAUCUUUCAACAGGUUGUUUUUUGUGUAUUGAGAACUGUUAUUAAUACGAUAUACCUGUUUGUACCCAAUGUAAAGGACUUAUACUGGUAGAUUUUACUGUACACUUAUUUUGGGGGAAAAUGUCAGGAACAUUCUAUGUAUUAGAAUCUGAUGACUGUUUAAAACUGGCGAUCAUGCAUAACAAAUAUUGAAUUAAGUACUAUGUAAUAAAAGGGGAAGGGCUUGAUGCAAGUUAGAUAGCUUGUUUCCAGUCCCUUGGUUUUAUUGACAAUAAAAUAUGUUUAAACUAAAUUAAGCAUUUAGAUAAUAGUAUUAUUGUGAAAGGAUGAAUAUGAGAGGAACUUUCUCAGGAGCUUUAAAAAAUCUAGAAUUAUUUUUAAACAGUCCUUACAUGAGAAGUAGGUGUUUUUAUGUGUAUAUGUUGUUGUUUGGUUUGAGUGGUGAUGUUCGUUACUAAGUUGUCAUAAUAAUAAUAUGUUGAUAAUGAGGAAUGUGAGAUUAUAUACAGAUUAUAUUAAUCAGAUUAACAUUAUAAAACCAGGUCUGUGUUCUUGUGUUUUUAGAUGACGUACCAUCAGAUACAGUGUACACCUCUAUGACUAACGAGGAGAUUUACAACCAUGGACAUAUGUCUUGUUGUCUUAAAUAUCCUCUUCAAUUAAGUUUAUACUAAAAGUUGUUGCUUUUCUAAAUAUUGUCGGUGUUUGCACAAUGAAUGUGAAGAUAGUUGUGCAGUUAUGUUAAUCAGAGAAUCUCACUUGGUAAGGUAUUGUACACAAUGUAUACUGUACGACCAUCCAGCUCGCAUUACAAAAGGUUUUGUCAAGUUCCUGGUUUUCUCAGUAUUCCUAAACUAAUAUAUUCUCCAUUGGGGAGCGUUACUGGAUUUAAGGAAAAAAUCUUAGUUAAGAAACUGUCUUUAAAUUCUGUGACGCUUUCCUGUAGGAAAAUUUCAAGUUAAGGAAUAUUGAUGUUAUAACUGGGGGUAUACAUUAUUACCAAAGAUUAUUGCAUUGUACCACUCUAUACUUAUGGGAUUAGCUUUCAUCCCAUCCUAUUAUGUUUACAUAAAAAAUACACAAACUAUUAUAAUACAUAUUGCCCUUUUAGGAUGCUGUUUUUGAAAUAACUUAAAUAUGUGUAUUUAUGUAUGUAAGGGUGUAUCUUUAGCUCACCUGGCCCGAAGGGGCGCAAUAGGGGAAUUAAAGUAAGUCCUUUAAAUCCCUAAUAGUCAUGAAUGCCUUAAAGGAUUUUGAUGAAACUUGGUCUGGACCAUUAUUGGGCAAAGGAGAAAGAUAAAAUGUUGUAUAAACUGAGGGUGUGGUUUCCCUGGGACCAGAGGGGCAGGGCCAAAUACGGGAAAUUGAGGUGAAUCAUUUAAAUCGCUUCUAGUCCUAAACACCACAAUGGAUUUUGAUGAAAUUUUGUCUGGAGCAUAAUUAGGCAAAGGAGAUCUUUUAAACCAUUGUUGGAUGAGACAGUUUAAAAGUAGGAAAAUAUUUGAAAUAUCUGGUAUAAUUUAAAUGAGAUUAUUUUGCCAUAAUUACUGAAAUAUCCAGAAGAGCGAUGAAGGCCCUCUGGGCCUCUUUCUGCAAUUGAUAAAUUUGUAUUCACUUUCUGAGCUGUGUUUUUAUUUACAUUGAAUUACAUGUUCAUGCUAUAAUUAAUAUUUUUGUUGUUGGUUGUAAACACAUAUUAUGAUGAUGAUAUCUUAG